CUUUUCACUUAAUCCGAUAAAGGGCUUUUCACUUAGUAGUAGAGCAAUACCAUGCUAAGACAAAAGUCAUCGGUUCAAAUCCGAUAAAG
rnacentral:tRNA from 1 species